CUAGAAGCUAGUAUUAAAAAUGGAGAUUUUCAAGGGUUUCAGUUGUUUAGUGAAGUUGCAAAGCAUCUACCAUCAAAUGUUGCAAAUGACGAUGAGGAGAAAGAAAAUGAUAAUAUGAACUUGCCAUCUGCACAAGAACGAUAUAGAAACAAUACAGGGAACUCGGGAAAGCCUCGCAGAAAGCCGUUCAAAGAUUCCACAAGUUUGGAUACAGAAGAUGGAGAGGCCGAUGAGGGAAAGAAGCACUAGGGAAACAGGAUUUGCUUUGCAAAACGGGGAGGCUGAGUAGUGAAGACUUGUUUGUUGUUUGUAAACUGUCCUGUGAAUUAUGAAUGCUCGCCACAAUCUUACCUCACACAUUUUUUGCCUUGCUUGAAUUGCCAUUUUUUCCCAAAA